UCACACGGCCACCUGGGCGACUUGGGCCCCAUCGCCUGGCCCAGUAUUCUUCCUCCUGCACGUGCCUGCCGGCAAGAUGGUCUCUGUCACUCCUUUCUGAGCAGCCAGCCUAGAGCAGGGGUUUUCAACUGCGGGCGAUUUUGCCCCCCAGGGACACUUGGCCGUGCGGUGACAUUUCUGGCUGUCGUAAUCGUGUGCGAUGGGCAGCAGGAGGGAUGCUACUGGCAUCCGGUGAACGGAUGUUGUGGACGCUGCUAAGCAUCCUGUGAGGUACAGGUCAAGUCGCCCACAGCCAGGAUUUAUCCGGCCCCAGAAUGUUGCCAGUUGUGAGGUUGAGACUCCCUGGCCCAGAGCAGCUCAGACCCCGGCUCACCCUAACCCCCUGGGCUGUGGGCUGUGGGCUGAGGAAGCAGGCAGAGCAGCCAACCCAGAACACGGGGGAGACCCAGGACCCAGGGGGAGGAGAUGAGGCCUCGGGGAUGGGUCCAGGUGGCCGGUGUUUAUUCAUUUCUUCUCCCAACAAAUCCGCAAGCCCUGCCGUGUGCCAGCUGCUGAGGUUACAGAGGUGAACUUGAGAGACACGGAUCGGACCUCGUAGAUAAAGCAUCAGUCUCCUGAGCAGUGAACAACAGCAGCAUUAGAAGCGAGGUGACUAGCUUAUAACAGGGCAGCAAUUAUAUACCCGUUAGCGCCAGGAGGACCUGCAGAAGUCAGGAAUCCACGGGAUCUCCAAAUCGUACCCACAGCAUGGCGGACUCCAAAAGCAUCUUUGGAGUCUGUGUAAACGGUGGCAGUUUCCCCUUUGCUCGUCUGUGUGCUCCAGGAAGAGCGAUGCGUUCAGCCGCGUGGGCUGGUCUCACAGUGGGCACGGAAUAUGCCUCACGUGGUUCACGUGGGGAGCCACAGCAUAACCGGUUAUUAUGUUUCGCUGGAAACUUCGUUUACAGGAGCCAUCACAAAAUCGAAGUAAGUCUGGGUUGUCUAAAGGGAUGUCUGAGAGAGCAUCUCGUGGCUCUGAGACCGUUCCUGUAGUUGCGAGGCACUCGUGUGGCAUGGAGUGGGGCUCUCCACCAUCAGGGAGGGGGGUAAAGGAGCCAGAUUUAGAGUAUUAAUGAUGGACGGUGAUGGGUAGAUUAAGAGCCUGCUCACAGGUGGUCUCUCGCCACGCAGAGAAGUGCUGCAUCCUGUGAACUUGUAACAUAGCAGACACAGCAUGGGAAACAGAGGUGGCUGGGGGAGCCUAUGGUUAGAGCACUGGCUUUGUAGUCAGCAUGGCCACGUACAUAAGGGGGGCGUACCUGGUGCCGUAGAGUCUAACUGACAUGAGAAAUACGCUGUAGGACUUAACUGAGGCAAAAGGCUGUCCCAGAAUGCCAGCAGUAAUCCCAUCAUUCCAUGGCCAGUGUAGAUGAAAAGGCUUAUCACGAUCAGGUAAGCCAAGAACCAGAGGUGUGGACAGAACUAAUGUAAGGCUUCGUAGGGGAGCAGAAUUUGCUCCCCGAAAAUACAUCUCUUUGGCAUAUUAUCUUGAGCUGGUUCUUUUCUAGGAAACAGCAGACACGGGAAACUGAAAACCUAGUAGGAGUUGCCCUUUUGCAAGAAACAUUGACGUCUGUAAGGGAAAUCUCCAUUUGUAACGGUGUCUCCCUCUCUGUCCCUGUAAGAGGAGGUUGACCAAAUCUCUGGAAACUCUUCUCCAUGGAGAGGGCCAGGGCUUAAAUCUGUGUCACAGCCGCCCUUGUUUACUGUGCUUUUCCUGGUCGCCUCCCCUGACUGGAUCUCCCACCCUCUACAUCCUCUUUUGUCUUUGGCUGAGGGUUUCAGGUGAGGGCUUCCAGGUUUUUCCGGGUUUCUCCCAUGGAUACAUUAUUAAACAUUUGUUUGAUUUUCUCCUGUUAACCUGUCUCAAGUCAACUUAAUUCUUAGACCAGCCAGAAGAACCUAGAAGGGUAGAAGGAAAACUUCUCCCCGACGGCUAUGCCAGUCCUUCUUACCGGUCUCCCUUGAGAGGUAAAUGCAGACAAGGUGUGCGUCAGGAGCAUGGGAUUGAAGAGGAAUCUGAGCGGAGCUCAGAUUAACCAAGCUGGGUCAGCAGGAGUCGCAGUGAAGGUAACAGCUGGGUUAGGGACCGCAGGGUGCCCGGGAAUUACAAGAGUUUAUGGCUCUUAGGGUUUGUGCAAAUGAAGAGAUUCGAUUCCCGUCUGGGCCUAAUUUACCUUCUUUCAUUACAAAUGUACCUACUUUCACUUGGAGUGUGACAAGGUGAGGAAGUAAAAGCAAGCACACCCAGCUCUAAGAGAGUCUAUCAUAGGGUUAAUUCCUCACUUUGUAUCUCUUUGCAGAGAAGGGACCUGUUUAGUUUUCUUCCACGUCAUGCAUACAGGCUCAGCACUCGGUAGCAAUCCAACUUCACUGGCAUGUGUGGCCUACGGACUAGUUGGGACAUCUGUUAAAGACUCA